rnacentral:rRNA from 1 species
AGUGAACGCUGGCGGUAGGCCUAACACAUGCAAGUCGAACGGCAGCACAGUAAGAGCUUGCUCUUACGGGUGGCGAGUGGCGGACGGGUGAGGAAUACAUCGGAAUCUACUUUUUCGUGGGGGAUAACGUAGGGAAACUUACGCUAAUACCGCAUACGACCUACGGGGGAAAGCAGGGGAUCUUCGGACCUUGCGCGAUUGAAUGAGCGGAUGUCGGAUUAGCUAGUUGGCGGGGUAAAGGCCCACCAAGGCGACGAUCCGUAGCUGGUCUGAGAGGAUGAUCCGCCACACUGGAACGGAGACACGGUCCAGACUCCUACGGGAGGCAGCAGUGGGGAAUAUUGGACAAUGGGCGCAAGCCUGAUCCAGCCAUACCGCGUGGGUGAAGAAGGCCUUCGGGUUGUAAAGCCCUUUUGUUGGGAAAGAAAAGCAGCAGGUUAAUACCCCGCUGUUCUGACGGUACCCAAAGAAUAAGCACCGGCUAACUUCGUG